rnacentral:lncRNA from 1 species
ACAAGCAUACACAUAACAUGUUUAUUUUAAUCAUGCACAUGUUACUAAGAGGGAGGGAGUAGGGUAUAUGUUGCCAUCUGUAUUUUUCUUGAAAAUUUACAGCACAUCAGUAAUGGUUAACAAUGCUGGAAAAGCUGCUUCGGCAGAAAAUGAGCUUUAGUGGCAAUUCAGCCACGCUUCGGAGGGGAAAGCCUUAAGUAGAAUUUGGGUCUUCUCAGCGCAGUCAGGAUAUUUAUCUCAGCUACCUUAGCGCAGCUAUCUUAGUUAUCUUAGCUACCUCAGGGCAGCUACCUCAGUGCAGCUAUCUCAGCGCAGCUAUCUCAGCACAGUCAGGGCAGUUAUCUCAGCUACCUCAGCGCAGCUAUCUCAGCGCAGUCAGGGCAGUUAUCUCAGCUACCUCAGGGAAGCUACCUCAGCGC